AUGGCUGCACUGAGGGCGGGGCAGGGUGCAGGCUGGAACCUCCGGGGAUGGCGGGCUUUGGGGGGGGUUCGCUGGGGGAAGGGACCCCUGUUGACCCCUGACCUUCGGGCCUUGCUGACGUCAGGAACUCCUGACCCUCGGGCCCGAGUGACUUAUGGGACCCCCAGCCUCCUGGCCCGGUUGUCUGUGGGGGUCCCUGAACCACAGACGUGUCUGACGUCAGGGACUUGGGAUUCCCGAGCACGGCUGACUGCAGGGGCCCCAGAUCCCAGGACCCGGGAGGUCUCAGGGACCCCUGGAACCCGUCCGCGCGUAUGGCUGGCAGUGGCGCUGGGCGCUGGGGGGGGGCAGUGCUGUUGUUAUUGCGGGGCGGGGGUCGGGGUCCCCCAGCGGUCCUCGCCUCGGUCCUUGGCUCGCCGCCCACCUCUCCCCGGAGCCAGUACAACUUCAUCGCAGACGUGGUAGAGAAGACAGCACCUGCUGUGGUUUAUAUCAAGAUCUUGCAAGGGCCGGCACCCUUUCUCGGGCCGCGAAGUCCCUAUCUCGAAUGGCUCAGGAUUCGUGGUGGCUGCCGACGGGCUCAUCGUAACCAACGCUCAUGUGGUGGCUGAUCGGCGCCGGGUCCGUGUGAGGCUGCUUAGCGGUGACACGUAUGAGGCCAUGGUCACAGCUGUGGAUCCCGUGGCAGACAUUGCCACGCUGAGGAUUCAGACCAAGGAGCCUCUCCCCACACUACCCCUGGGACGCUCAGCCGAUGUCCGGCAAGGGGAGUUUGUUGUUGCCAUGGGAAGUCCCUUUGCACUGCAGAAUACGAUCACUUCUGGCAUUGUCAGCUCUGCUCAGCGUCCAGCCAGAGACCUGGGCCUCCCCCAAACCAAUGUGGAAUACAUCCAGACUGAUGCAGCUAUUGAUUUUGGAAACUCUGGAGGUCCUCUGGUUAACCUGGACGGGGAGGUGAUUGGAGUAAAUACCAUGAAGGUCACAGCUGGAAUCUCUUUUGCCAUCCCUUCUGAUCGCCUUCGAGAGUUUCUGCAUCGUGGGGAAAAGAAGAAUUCCUGGUUUGGAAUCAGUGGGUCCCAGCGCCGCUACAUUGGGGUGAUGAUGCUGACCCUGACUCCCAGCAUCCUUGCUGAACUACAGCUUCGAGAACCAAGCUUUCCUGAUGCUCAGCAUGGUGUGCUCAUCCAUAAAGUCAUCCUGGACUCCCCUGCACACCGGGCUGGUUUACGGCCGGGUGAUGUGAUCUUGGCCAUUGGGGAGCAGCUGGUACAAAACGCUGAAGAUAUUUAUGAAGCUGUUCGAACCCAAUCCCAGCUGGCAGUGCGCAUCCGGUGGGGACCGGAAACAUUAACCUUGUAUGUGACCCCUGAAGUCACAGAAUGAGUAGGUCAGCAGAAGUAUGAGGCUCCUGCUCGGAUUUCCACCUUGCUUUCCUGGCCUAGGCUCUGAGGGUACCUGGACAGAGGAUUAAAUGAACCAGUGGGGGGCAGGUCCCUCCAACCACCAGCACCAAUCCCUGGGCUCUGAGGAAUCAUAAAAAUGCUUUUUAUAUAAAAUAAAAUUAUACCUAGCAUCAAAA